CUUCUGUAAGAGGAGAAGACCCAUGAAGAUUCCUGAGCAGUUUAACGGAUAAAUUAAGUUGUCGAGACAAUAUUUUUCUACAAAAUUUCUUGUAUCACGAAACUUAUUCAAUCUAUCGAAAAUGUACUUUAAAUUUUCAUCAAUUUCGACCUACCUUCGUUUAUAUUACGUUUAAAUUACAGUGGUCUCCUAACGCUACAGUCAAUUGAUGAGACUUUCCUGUCAAUUAUACUUUAAAAUUAGGAAAAUCAAUUGCUCCCUUCUUCAGCUUGUAACCAUUUGAAACUCACCCUCUACCUCAUCACUAACACUCACUUCCAACCCUCACCUUUUUCUUUUCCAUUUUCUUAAUUUUAAAUAUAAGUGCGCAACUUUGACUUUUAACAAUAAUUAACAAUUUAACAAGAAAUAUUAUCCCUUUAUCCAACUAUAAAAGUUAAUGGGGUCCAAAAUAUUUCUAUGUACUACAAAGUCAAAAGCAAUUCAUGAAGACCUAUAACCCGUUUGGCCAAGCUACAAAAAUCAGCUUAUUUUGAGAAGUGUUUUUUUUUUAAAAGUGCUUUUCUCAAAAGUACUUUUGGUGAAAAGCAGUUUGUGUUUCGCUAAUUAGUUUGAAGAACACUUCUGAACAGCAAUUAGUGUUUGGCCAAGCUUUAAAAAACUGCUUCUAAGUGUAUUUUUCUCAAAAGUGCUUCUCAAAAAAGUGUUUUUGGAGAGAAGCUACUUUUUUCUGCUUUUCCAAAACUGCUUCUGCUUCUCCUCAAAAGCACUUUUUUUGGUCAAAAGUGCUUUUGACAACAAAAAAAAAGCACUUUUGACCAAAAAGAAGCUUGGCCAAACAGGCUACUAGUCUCGUCUGUUAUUUGCUUGUUUGGCUUUUUGACUUAUUACUCGGUUUAUCAAAUCUUUGGAUCCGAGGUAUCAUCAGAAAGAGGUAACCAACAAAUAAUGCAACUACGGGGAUCUCAUCUCAUCAUAAAUUUCUUUAAAAAAAUUUCCACCAAGAAAGUGUACUAGAAAUUGAACAUCUAACGUUAAAAAGAAAGAAAAAGGAAGUGUGCAACAAGGUCAAAAUAUGCACUCAAGAAAAUGUAGCUUGAGAGUUGAGACUAAGGCCAAGCAACUAACUACAGCAUGAUUGGACUUAUAUCCAUCUCACCAUACCAACUCAUUGAAAUGCAAAUAGGGAUCUGAAAUAAUCCAAAUAUUCACGAAGAAUUAAGAGAUAUUGUAUAUACCCAAAUGAAAAUUGAUCCGAGACUUUCCACAAAUUGAGAUUUGGCUGUAGAAGAAUCGACUGGUAUUCGAAGAAGAACAAGGGGGAUACAAAAAAGUAACAAGAAAUGUGCACCAAAUUGAACAAGUCUCAAGCACAGAUACACUGUUAUAAGUAUCUACACACAAAAAAAAUAGAGUGAAAAAUAUUAGCAUCAUUUCGAGGAUGUACCACCAUCUACCAUGUCUGUGUUUUCACUGCGCAAACUGCUCUCUCUUCUGUACAUUGGUUUUGCACCCUGAGAGAGCAAACGAAGAGUGUCCACAUUACCAUGAAAAAAUCUCAAAAAUUGAUUGGAAAUAUUUGUUGAUGAAGGAAAGAUAAGAAACAAUCAUCCCGAAACAACAAAUGACCAAAGGUUUCUGUUCCAUUUUUUCAAUCACCCAAAUGGUUAUUGAUUUUUAGUUUUGUCUGUCAUUAUUGGUCAUUCAUCAAGAUUUUUUCAAUGGCCACAACCAUUACAAGGAAACUACAAUUUUGAUCAUUUUAAAGAAAAUUCUAAUGAUUUUUUUUCCUGGGAUGAAGGCAUACAAGUUAUGAACAGAAAGUUUAAAGCAAUCCAGUCGUCCUGCAAUGUUCAAGAAAACAUCUUUGAUCCACACUCACCUGAAAAAUUGUCCCCAGCUUUUUCAUAGCCCUAGCGCGUAGCCUGAGAACAUCCCUAGGAACAUUGGGCUCUUUAAGGACCUACACAAAAAACAAAAUUCAUUAAUAUGUAGAGGCUCCUCAUUUAUAUGUAAAUAUUAUUCUAUUUGGUGCUAUAAGUUAGAGAUCAUUCAGUAUAUAGAAAGUCCAAAAGAUGGUUCCUUUAAACACCCCCCCCCC
rnacentral:lncRNA from 1 species